CUGGAACAAUCAUUUGUAUUACAUGUUACGUUUGGUAUGUAUGGUUCAAUGCUUCAUUUGUUAAUCGGGAGGUGCCGGAACAAAAAGUGAGAGGGGGGUGAUCUGGAGAGCUCUGCGGUACCAGGAACGCAUUACUUACUUUUUCUCACCUUCAUAAUAAUGCAUUGCAUGCAUAUCAUUGCAUUUGCUUUGUGGCAUAGAGCAGUAGAGUAGAGGCACUUAGUCGCACACAUGGGGAACAUUUUAGUAGCCUAAAGCCGUGUUUAAGGGUCAGGAAAAAUGUGGCUUUUAUAAAUGGAUUUCAUGCUCUGUCAUUUUACAUGACUGGAGACUUUGGCAGAUUAUUUUUAAUACUGUAAAUAAUUGAAAUGACAGGCUCCUUUGACACAAACUGAAAAUCUGAGAUCAAUGAAAACGACCAUGUGUUGAAUCCAUCAAUAGACUAGGCCUAAGUGUGUGGAGACAUAUGUUGUAGGCUACAAAAUGAGGAGGAAAUUAUAGUCCUAAAAAUACUUUCCAGUUUCAGACUCGCCCAAUGAUGUGCAGCUCACUCACCGGUGAUGGCCGACGCUUUCGUGCCAAAAGCCUAUAUCUCUCGUGUGGAUAGGUGAUUUAUAUUUGUGGAUUGGUGAUUUUAUAUUUGUGAAUAUAUUUGGCAUGAUAUUGAUCCCAUACAGCAGCUCCACAAUAGUUUUGAGCUAAUAUUCUAUAAGCGGUGCAGGAGUUCAAGUAGAAGAACAUUUGAGGUGCCGGAACUUGGCUCCGGUGAGCUUCUGCCAAAGUCGAGCACUGGUCGCAACUAGGGUUGCAAAUUCAGGGAAAAUCUUGGUUGGAGGUUCUGGAUUUCCUGCUUAUUCCCCUCUUGAUUCAAGGAAUCCUCCAACCAGGAUUCCGGGAAAACCAGGGAAUUUGCAACCAUAGUCGUAACACAGAACAAAGUAAAGUUCAGCAUAUCACAGUGCGGAAAGCAGCUGAUGGCCGUGUUGUUUUAUCCAAGUUCCAGAAGUACCAAUUGUAUCAUUGCCCCUUCUGCCAGCCCUCCAUUUUCAAGCCCCGAGACUAUGCCAGUGUGUCGGCACACAUUGAGUCUCACAGAUUGAAGGCUGUGCUGCAUAGAGAGUUCACAAUAUUCAUAUGCCAUUUGGAGUGCAGAGCAGCAAAGCAUUUUCACUGCCCAUACUGCCCCAAGACCUAUGUAAAUAGGAGUGAUUUUACCAAACACAUUCCACAAUGUGAGUCAGUAUGUGGGCGAGACCCAGGUGCAACUGCGAGAGGCCCAGAUGUAACCAGUGCAACUGCGAGAGGCCCAGGUGUAACCAGUGCAACUGCGAGAGGCCCAGAUGUAACCAGUGCAGAUGUAACCAGUGCAACUGCGAGAGGCCCAGGUUCAGCGGGUCCAGCUAUGAGACCUGCAAGCAAGAGGAAAAUCAAAUGUCGUAACUGCAGUUUAUGGCUUAACAAAAAUAAUUGAUGUUUCUUCAGGCUAAGGCAGCAUACAUCUGCUGAGAAGUACAUUACUGCUCACUCCAAUCUCAAAAGACAGUGCUUUGACCAGGACAAUUGGGUGUUUGCAGAGGAUCAACACAUUUUCCCUGUCUCCUUCUCCUGCGUUCAUUCGGGAAAUGCUUACCAAGCAAGAGGUGAUACUGGAACAACAGACACUCAUCCUACGACUUACAAACAGGACAGCAGAAUGGAGCAGAAUAUGCGAUUGAAAAUGGCCUUCUGCCAUUGAAGGAUCAGCAAGGUCUUCAGAGCCUGGAAACUGAUCUUCAGGGGGCUGACUUCAAACUUAAAAUGAUUAACCACUUGAUACUAAUUGGGGGAUGCGACGUGAAAGAUGCUGUGUGGCGUUUAAUGAUGCGCACAAUUUCCAACACGCUAGCAAAAAACAUGAAUCGGAGAGGAGUAAAUAGAAAAAUCUCUCUUGCAUCCCUUCGACUGUGGGAGGUUUUGAUUGCUGUUGUCUGGAAGAAUCGGUUAACAUCUAGAGCGUCUGAAAGCGAUGCGGAGUCGGUCAUGAAAAAGUGGUUGCAGCUGGCAGCAUACCGGGAAGGAGUGAGAAGCAGACGAGACAGGAGUGUGGUGGCCCCUGUGCCAUGAUGGACUUGGGAAAGGGGUGUAUUUAAGUGAUAAUGCCCAAGAAGCCGUGGUCUGGAGAUUAUAUACGUCAAGGGCCGGCAAACCGUGCUAAUAUAACCUCCAACAGCUUGGAGGGCAUUAUCACUUUUAUACAACGGUUACCGACAUAUUCAAAUAAUGAUUGACAUAUUUUCAUUAAAAACGUUAUUUUGAUUAAUUGAUUCAUACUAUUUCCUUCCUUACAUAAGAUAUAGUCCCAACACAAAUCUAAGGUUCUUGUUACCAGCCAAGCCAACUGGUUGUUGGUUCUAUGCGUUCAAUUUCACGCUAUCUAAGCUAAAUGACUAUAGUAGACAAAAUAAAGACAUAACGAUGCUCUGACAAAGACACAACCCCUUUUCGUUCCCUUGCAUGAAUUGCGCAAGGGAACAGUGAAAAAGACAGUGAUGUGUAAGUUAGAAGUUAAUAUAUUAAUGCAUAAUUCGUAUAGCCUAUAUAUAAGUGUCCAGUGCCUUCAAAAAGUACUCAGACCCCUUGACUUAUUCCACAUUUUGUUAAAGUCUGAAAUCAAAAUCGAUUCAAUAUAUUUUCUCACAUCUACACAAUACCCCAUAAUGACAAAGUGAAAACAUGUUUUU